AGUGAACGCUGGCGGUAGGCCUAACACAUGCAAGUCGAACGGCAGCACAGUAAGAGCUUGCUCUUACGGGUGGCGAGUGGCGGACGGGUGAGGAAUACAUCGGAAUCUACUUUUUCGUGGGGGAUAACGUAGGGAAACUUACGCUAAUACCGCAUACGACCUACGGGUGAAAGCAGGGGAUCUUCGGACCUUGCGCGAUUGAAUGAGCCGAUGUCGGAUUAGCUAGUUGGCGGGGUAAAGGCCCACCAAGGCGACGAUCCGUAGCUGGUCUGAGAGGAUGAUCAGCCACACUGGAACUGAGACACGGUCCAGACUCCUACGGGAGGCAGCAGUGGGGAAUAUUGGACAAUGGGGGCAAGCCUGAUCCAGCCAUACCGCGUGGGUGAAGAAGGCCUUCGGGUUGUAAAGCCCUUUUGUUGGGAAAGAAAAGCAGCAGGUUAAUACCCCGCUGUUCUGACGGUACCCAAAGAAGAAGCACCGGCUAACUUCGUG
rnacentral:rRNA from 1 species